GCACCGGGUGCGUAACACGUAUGUAACCUACCUUGAUCAGGGGGAUAGCCUCUCGAAAGAGAGAUUAAGACCGCAUAAUAUGAAGACACAGCAUUGUGAUUUCAUCAAAUAUUUAUAGGACGAAAUGGGCAUUGCGGAACAUUAGUCUAGCUUGGUAAGGUAACGGCUUACCAAGGCUACGAUGUUUAGGGGAUCUUGAGAGGAUGACCCCCCACAUUGGGACUGAGACACUGCCCAGACUCAUACGGGGGGCUGCAGUAACGAAUCUUCCGCAAUGCACGCAAGUGUGACGGAGCGACGCCGCGUGUGGGACGAAGCCCCUCGGGGUGUAAACCACUGUCAGGGGAUAGAAAGUUCUGAUCAUCCCCAGAGGAAGGCACGGUAACUCUGUGCCAGCAAGCCGCGGUAAGACAGAGGUGCCAAGCGUUAGGCGGAAUCACUGGGCUUAAAGCGUGUGUAGGCGGACCGUUAAGUACCUUGUGAAAUCCCCCCGGUUCAACCGGGGGGGACUGCUUGGGUAAUUACUGGGCGGGUCCUUUGGGGGCCACUUCCAGGGGCAGAUUGGGAAACCAGGGCGGGUGGAAGCCGGGGUGAAAUUGGCGGUUAAAUUUUUCGGCCCUGGGAAAACGCCCAAAAGGGAGAAAAUUCAAGGUU
rnacentral:rRNA from 1 species